CAGAGGGUGAGGGGAGGGGGGGGCGCUGUUCCCGCCCCCGCCGCAGGGGAGGGGGGGGCGCUGUUCCGGCUCCGCGCCGCGUUUUCCCGCUCACCCCCCCCCCCCGCUCCGCGCAGCGCUCCCCGCGCCUCCUCACUCCUCCGCGCCUCCGGAUCCCUCCGCCGCAGCCGGCGCUGGGCUUUUUUCACCUCCCCCACCCCCCAUCCCUUACAUCCCGAUUAUCCAGCCGGGGGGGGGUGGAAUGCGGGAAGGGAAAGUCUUAUCCCCCCGUUCCUGUAAGAGUGUCCAGGAAUCGCAGGAUCCGUCAGGUUGGAAAAGACCUCUGAGGUCAUCGAGCCCAACCUUUCCCUGCUCAGGAUGCGCUGAGCUGUCCUUUGUCCCAGGCGUGGAUGCGCUGCUCUUCACCUCACUGCCCGAAAACUUCAAUAAGGGGUAAAACUCGUUCCCAUUAGAGUCGGCUGAAGGAUGUCUCCAGGCUGAGAGGGCUUUGGGAUCUGCUGUUUAAUACUUAAAUUAUUUAACCAGACAACACUAAAAAUGCAUAACAUAUGCAAGCCACAAAAAAAAAAAAAAAAAGGAAAAAACAGGAGGGGAAAGCGAGUCUGCUGACACACAAACACGGCCAGUAAAUACCGUGUGGUUCAUUAGAUACGGGCUGGGGUGAUUCUGCCCAGCAGUUAAAGGCCUCUCACUUCCUCUGCCUGCUCCAGAUUGUUGCCUUGUACAAGCUCCUCUCUCCAGCUCUGCCGGUUCCCAGUUUGCCACCUUUUAAAUGUGGAGCUGUUGAUCCUCUCUGCUGUUGCGGUGCAACACUUUGAUGCCAAAAAACCCCCCUUCCUCCGCUGAAUCCACAAGUUUCAGGGAUGCUGGGACUACUCAGGAAAAGCAGGCAACAUGUAAUGAAAUUAUGUGGAAGAGAAGGAUCCAUUAGAGCAAGGAGAUACCCGUAAAUCCUGUUAGCAGCCAAGCAUUUCCAUAGAAAUUUCCUGAUUCUGGAUGCCCCGCACCUUUCCUAUGCUUCCAUUUCCUUAACACCACUCCUAAAUCUCUAGGUGGCUUCAUUUACAAACCUAAACCCCAAAUGUAAAUGGAGGGGGGAGGAUCUCUUUGAAGUCCUGUCUCCUUUGUGGGUUUUAACUCUUAAAUUCCGUUGUUCAGGGUCUACUGGAAAGAGCAGCCUCCAGCUCUUGGAGUAGGAAUCAUCUCUUGGCUUUACACUCCUCCAGCACCACUCAGUUAAGGAUGAGCUGUGUGGUUUUAGUCCUUUUAGUAUCUUUUAGUUACUUUCUCUUUGUUGUACUUUUAUUCCUUUGCUCUUUGUACUCCAACCGGUGCAGAACGGCUUCCAAGUACAGGGAUUUAUUCUGUCAGCCUCGCGCUGCUUCCCUUAAACAUCAAAAUAUUAAAACACAAAAGCUCACUGAUUACUCAUCAGCAGAUCGGUGACUUUACACACAGACAGCUUUCUCUGGAGCAAAUUAAAACAACUCCUUCAAAAAAUUUGGGCUGAGAUGGAUUGUUUCCAGAUCCUCUUUUUUUUUUCCCCCUCAAUAAAAAAGGCAGGUCCCAAUAAACAGCCGCUGUAGAGAAGCUGAUGGCUCACCACAUUGUGAUGCUGGUGGUUUUGGUUUCACUGCAGCCCUGUGUUUAGAGUGCACAAGAAGGGAAAAUGUCACUUUGCCCACAUGUCCCAUAAGAAUAAAUCAUCCUGGAUACUUCAAAUGGAUAAAGCGUCCCCCAACAGAGAGCUCAUUUCUUAGCCUGCACUGCAAAGCAUGAUGAUGCCUGGUAGAUAGUUUAAAUUGUCAUAGGAGAAUUAUCAAAAGCCUAAAAAAAACCCCCAACACAUAAAAACGAAGAACUGAAAUUCUUCAGCUGCAGGAAAUUCAAGUGUUGGAGAGAGAAAAGCCCACAGCACCCUGAUAUCAGGAACUCUUAACUGAGGAAAAGUGGUUUAUUCCUACAUGUCCUUUUCAAUGUGCUCUUGUCUAAGUUAUUGUUUGUCCUCUUGUUUUUAUGGCAACCACUCCAGGACUGACCACUUUAAUAUUCACUACUGGAGUGUUUGCAGUGAUUCCUGAGAACUGGGAGGGAUAAUGUGCUCAGCACAGGGAUCCUCAGCACGGCUGUGUAGGGGCUGAAGAUACACCUUGAGAAGUCUCAGGUUCUGAGAUUAAGUCUAAAUCAAUUAUUCUGACUGAAUUUUGUUCAAUUAAUGAUGUUAAUUGCCUGCCUGGAGACUGUUUAAAAUUUGAAACCAUUUCAUAACUUAUACAUAAAGAUUUUGCAGUUGGGAGUGAUUUGUUGUUACCAGAUUUGAUACAAAUCCCUCUCCUGCUGUUUUUUUGGCUCUCUGGUGCCAGGUGGAAGGGCAGCCCUGCUUAGUUUGGGAAAACAGAUGAUCUGGUUGAGAAUUGUGCUUUAUUUUAAGUAAUUACCAGAUCCAGGGUAGUAUUUACACCUGUAUUUUUCAUGUUCUGGCUGAUGACAUUUUUUUAUUUUUAAAGUUACUCAAGUGACUCCAUCUCAAGCAGAGAUUCUGCUGAAUCCAGACUAGCAGAAUCCAGUAAAAAAAGGUGUUAGUUUUCUAAAGCUGCAGUUGCAGCACUGAGCACAGCUUAACCAGGGAGAGCUGAGGUUAUUGGCCUGGAGUACUCGGGCCUUGCUACAUCUGCAGUGGUAUCACUGAAGUAUCGCUGGAACACGCUGCAAGAGACUCUGCUCUUCAUCUUCCCGGCCUCCUGCCAGGCCUCUGGCGGAGGAUGAGGGAAGUUUAGAGGAGCUUCCCAAAUGGGAAAGGAAAAAAAAAGUCAUUUAAGUGAUGUACUUGUGAAUCAGCAGCUGAAGAAACGUCAUGUGAAGGGAAUCCCACUGUCAGUGACAGAACCCUUCCCAUGCCGCCGUGCUCCAGUGAAAGCCCCGGCAACACUGUCCAGUCACAGCUCCUAAAUGGUGCUAAACGUCCCCAAUUCCAUGCUCCGAGGGCUGGCAGCAGGAACACGGGGGAGCAGAGAGGGGAUGGCACUGUCUGUGCCCUGAGCUGCUCUUGUGGGCAGCGGUGCUCACCUUCCCCACCAUGGCUGCGCUGCAGGUCACAGGAGCUACAGCCACGAGGACAGAGAAAACACGUUGGAGGAGUCAGGCAGGUGCUUUUGAAGGAGGAGGAUGUUUCAAACACAAUUCUCAGCCCUCUGCAUGACCUGUUUGGGAUCCGGCAAGGCUGAGUUAGUCCUGAGGCCAAAGGAGUAAAAUGCAGGUAGAAGACAGAGGUGUCUCCUCUCCACCUCACUCGAGGAGUGAUAGUGAAGAGAGAGCACAAGACAGCACAAAAUUGCCAAGACAUCAUGCUCAUUUUUCAGCAAACACCCAUUAGUGAAAUUGUUUUCUUUGCUUUUGACAGAUCAGUUCAAGCCCACACACAUCCUGCAGGAUACGUUACACUCAAGGCUCAAGCCUCUCUCAUUUCCCAAACAGCUCUGACACCCUGCUAGUGAUCAUCUACUGAGGCACCUCAUUUCACGUUGUAGUCCCUCAUGACAAAAUAAUUCCCACUGUUUAUACCCUUUUUUAAUGAAUGGAAGAUGCUCUGAUGUAUAAGUGAAAUACAUUGUAAACAUCAACAGUGGCUAAACUUGAUUUGCAUUUUCUGCGGAUGUCAAGUUGCCCCCUUACAAACCUUUUUGGUUUUUUUUUCUGCCCUCAAGGGAUUUUUGAAUGGUGUUUCAAAGACCACUGAUGACACCAUUCAGUAGCUGGCAAGAGAAAGAAUCCGUGGAUGGAGCUAAGAAGGGAGAUAAAAACAGUCUGUGCCCCAAACCCAACAUUUUCACAGUGCACGUGGGCUGGUUGUGUGAGCCAGAUGCAGAGAGCUCCAGGGAUGCUCCGCCGCAAUCCUACAACCCUAAUUCCUGCGCAUUUAAGGCUGUAUCUGAUUAGGCAUUUCUGUGUUUUCCAAGUGUGUAAUUAUCUAGCACAGUACGUGUGAGUUAUGGAGUAAACCCAGUUGGGAGUGGAGCACUGGGAAGGGGAGAAAAGGUCUGUAUGUGGGUGGGUGGGUUUGUCCGUGCUGGUGAUUGCAGCAAUCAGGGAGUGCAGUGCAGAAAAAACCCUUUCCUGGGAAGAAACUGAGAUAAAAUCCUGGCGCUGUGCUGCGAGCAGUUAUCACCUCGCUGUAGGCCACGAGGGAGGCGAUAACUAGAUCCCAGAUCCUUGUAGGAUCCUCCUUAGGAAGAAAUUCUUUACUCAGAGGGUGAUGAGGCUCUGUCACAGUUGCCCAGAGAAGCUGUGGCUGCCCCAUCCCUGGAAGUGUUCCAGACCAGGUUGGACAGGGCUUGGAGCAACUUGGGAUAGUGGAAGGUGUCCCUGCCCAUGGCAGGGGGUGGAACAAGAUGAGCUUUAAGGUCCCUUCCAACCCAAACCACUCUGUGCUUCUAUGGUUCUGUGAUCCAGAGCACCUGCUCAGGUAUGGUCCCAAGCAGGUGAGAAUUGAAGAAAUAGAAGUUUCAGGCUUCUCAGAGUUGAGGAGUUAAGGAAAUCCAAGUGUCCUUGCUGUAAAUGCAAGGUAAAUUAUUCAUUCUCUCUCUCCCCCCCCUCUUUCCUCCCUCUAGUUCAGUUUUUCUUUUCAUGCUUUAAUCGUUUUGACACCAAGCUGUACAAAAGUAAUUUAAAAUUAACAUGACUGACACUUGGUAGAUAGCAGGACCCAGCACAGGGCUCCACCUUCUACUGGGAACUGUGGAGAAGGGCUCUGGAUUGGCUGCAGGUCCUGAGGCAGCUGAUGGGGGCUAAGGAAAAACACGGCAAACAAUUAAUUUGCUAAUUUAGUUUUCUGUUUAAUUUGAGACCAGAAAAUUGUCAGGCACUCAUCAGCCCACGAGCAAGGCUGAGUGGACUCAGGGCAGAGCUGCACUCCUGACAGCAAGGAGGGGAUGUGUUUGAUUAGCCAGCAAAGCAAUUUCUCCUCCGGUACCGGUGGCAUUUCACAGGCUCGGCAGCGUGUUUGAGCACUGAAGUUCUGCAGCGCUGGGUUUGGUGUCACCUCUCCCCGAUCCAGCCCGUUCCGUACAUCUGAUAACGGUCUUUUUCCCUGGGAAAGAGGUGACACGCACACGUGUGUUGAGAAACAGCUGUGAAAAGUUGUCACCUCGAGCACAGAACGCGCCGCAGCCCGUCAUUAACCUGGCGCAGCCACACGGUGCCUCGGUCAGCCGGAAUUCUUGCAGGGAUAAUGACUCCUGCACGCGAUCAGCGAUGGCGAGGCGGAACGAACCUGCAUCGGGACUAAUGUCCUUUGAUGGGGAAAGAAAUGCUCUAAUUUGAUUUCCUCCCUUCAGCUGCCGAGUGUGUAAUUUCAGAUCCGCGCGGAGCGGGCCCUUUACGCUCCAUUUUGGGCCUAUUUUUGAUUGAUUAAAUUGAAUUGUGUCUAUUUA